UACGUAGGGGGCGAGCGUUGUCCGGAUUUACUGGGCGUAAAGGGCGCGUAGGCGGCCAGCACAAGUCAGUUGUGAAAUCUCCGAGCUUAACUCGGAAAGGUCAACUGAUACUGUGCGGCUAGAGUGCGGAAGGGGCAACUGGAAUUCUUGGUGUAGCGGUGAAAUGCGUAGAUAUCAAGAGGAACACCUGCGGCGAAGGCGGGUUGCUGGGCCGACACUGACGCUGAUGCGCGAAAGCUAGGGGAGCGAACGGG
rnacentral:rRNA from 1 species